AACGAACGCUGGCGGCAUGCCUAACACAUGCAAGUCGAACGAGACCUUCGGGUCUAGUGGCGCACGGGUGCGUAACGCGUGGGAACCUGCCCUUAGGUUCGGAAUAACUCCCCGAAAGGGGUGCUAAUACCGGAUAAUGUCUUCGGACCAAAGAUUUAUCGCCUUUGGAUGGGCCCGCGUUGGAUUAGCUAGUUGGUAGGGUAAAACCCUACCGAGGCGACGAUCCAUAGCUGGUCUGAGAGGAUGAUCAGCCACACUGGGACUGAGACACGGCCCAGACUCCUACGGGAGGAAGCAAUGGGGAAUAUUGGACAAUGGGCGAAAGCCUAAUCCAGCAAUGCCGCGUGAGUGAUGAAGGCCUUAGGGUUGGAAAGCUCUUUUACCCAGGAUGAUAAUGACAGGACCGGGAGAAUAGGCUGCGGCUAACUCCGUG
rnacentral:rRNA from 1 species